rnacentral:rRNA from 1 species
AAUGAACGUUGGCAGCGUGGAUUAGGCAUGCAAGUCGAGCGACAAGGUUCCUUCGGGGACUGGAGGAGCGGCAAACGGGGUAGUAAGGCAUCGGAACGUACCCUUCUGUUCGGGAUAGCCGCGGGAAACUGCGAGUAAUACCGGAUAACACCGAGAGGUCAAAGGUCCGCCGCGGAAGGAGCGGCCGAUGUGAUAUCAGCUGGUUGGCGGGGUAACGGCCCACCAAGGCUUAGACGUCUAGGGGAUGUGAGAGCAUGAUCCCCACCACUGGGACUGAGAUACUGCCCAGACACCUACGGGAGGCAG